rnacentral:lncRNA from 1 species
UUUAGACAAAUAGUUUAGAUACAUGGCUCUAUGCAUGUCCAACCUUUUAGAUUGCCUGGGCCACACUGAGUAAAGAAGAAUUGUCUUGGGCUGCGUAUGAAAUAUAUCAUGUAGCUAAUGUAUUGACGAACACCCACUGAGCGUUGACUAGCCAGGAGCACCUGUUCAGCCUGGCACACGAGCCAGUAUGUGGUGGGUGUCCUGAGGUAGAUGGAGUCUAGUGGACUUUGGGAAGGAGAGCAGAGUGAGGGGACAUGCCUUAUUCCUUAACAAGCUCCCCCCUCUUUGCACCAUCUUUUCUAAGUGGGCGUUUCAGGCACUUCACAGGAAAGAGCCUGAUGCCUUGUUUCUAAAUGUGCUCUUGAGUAAUGAAAUGUCUUGUGAGUGCUGCCAGAUAGAUCCAUAGGUCUGCCUUAAGUUUCCCUAUCCAGAUCAGCAUUGAGACGGACGUUGAGGAAUGGCAUUACAGCAUAUGAAUACACCCAUCUUCUUCACAAACUGUCAGCAUUGCACUGUAUGUGCCUCCAUUACACUACCUUGCUGAAGUAUUUGCACACGCUCUGAAUAGUGGGACUGUUGCAAGACAGUGCAUUACAGCUCUCAUUCCAGGGUUAACUGGGACCUCCAGGACCUCCCCCUGGAAGUUGGUUGACUUCUUGCCAGAUAAGAACCUCCCCAAAAUAAUGGAUGUAGACAAAUCUCAACACCCGUGUAGUUCCCAGUCCAGUGAAAACAGCCCAGCAUCUCUGGUAACUUAAAAGCAGCAAGCCAAAGUGCUCUUGUUUAAAAAAGAUAGCCAUUAUUCUGCUAUGGGUUUUAAGGAGUGGAAAAGCAGAAAACACAGCAGGGAAGUGCUUGUGCUGUAAUAUCACUUGCACAGCAGAGGUGGACAAGCUUCUACCCUCACUCCUCACCUUGCCCCUAUCUGCUAGUUCAGUUUUCUGUUGCAGUCCAACCUCUGAUUUCUGCAAAGCUGUACGAAUGGUUACGGUAGAACCAAAUAUCAGAGCUGCCAGUGCUGUGAGCACUGCAGCACCUUUUUGAAAUGUGCUGAUUUCCAUUAAGGACUUCAGAGCUGCAAGAUCCCAAGUCUUCUCUCCGCCUUUUGCUUAUUUUAUUGGUUUGAGGUUUUCUGGUAUUUUUUUUUUUUUCAUUUUGGUUAAGUUCUUUUGAUCUUCAGUUGUAAAAUGAGUAAAUAUUUCUGUACUACUGUACAUGUUAGCUACAGAAAAACAGGCAAUACAUUUAUUCACUCAAAUAUUGUACAGAACCUCCCACGUUCUGGCGGGCAGUGGCUGUCUAAUGGGGCUUGGGAGGUGGGAGCCCCAAAGAUGCUGUACUUGUUCUUUGUGUCACAUUGUAUAUCUCUUCCUGCAGGCCUUUAAAUUCAGUCCUUCUCAUUAAUUGACUUUUCUACGUGUAGUGGGAUAUUCCAUGAACCUCAGUGUUUGAAGACCUCCUGUGAGUGAGGGACAGUGGAGCUGAGAUGCUGAGAUCCACUAGCUGGGAACUAAGAUAAAAAGUACAGUGCAAGGACAGCAAUGUCUCUGCUCGGUAUCUAAGAGAGGAAGCAUUUGGUGAUCCUAGGCUUUGAGGACCCUUUAAUGGAUCACCUUAUCCCAUCCGAUAUGUUGAAAUAGCCCUUUGGGAUGAGUCCUUGUGGUUCAGUAUUCAGCAGGAGCAGCAGGAAAAAACAAUCCAAAGCAGGUGAAUUGAUCUGCAUGACUGAUAUGAAGCUCAGAAAUGGCAUAGGAGAAGAAUUUGGAUUCUCAAGAUACUAAGGAUUGUAGCACAGCUCUCUCUGAACAAUAUGCUCUACAUGUACAGUGCAUACUCCUCAGAAACCCUUGCUGCCUUGCCAGCAUGUGAG